rnacentral:rRNA from 1 species
GGUUAAGCGACUAAGCGUACACGGUGGAUGCCCUGGCAGUCAGAGGCGAUGAAGGGCGUGCUAAUCUGCGAUAAGCGCCGGUAAGGUGAUAUGAACCGUUAUAACCGGCGAUACCCGAAUGGGGAAACCCAGUGUGAUUCGUCACACUAUCAUUAACUGAAUCCAUAGGUUAAUGAGGCGAACCGGGGGAACUGAAACAUCUAAGUACCCCGAGGAAAAGAAAUCAACCGAGAUUCCCCCAGUAGCGGCGAGCGAACGGGGAGGAGCCCAGAGCCUGAAUCAGCAUGUGUGUUAGUGGAAGCGUCUGGAAAGGCGCGCGAUACAGGGUGACAGCCCCGUACACAAAAGCGCAUGUGCUGUGAGCUCGAUGAGUAGGGCGGGACACGUGGUAUCCUGUCUGAAUAUGGGGGGACCAUCCUCCAAGGCUAAAUACUCCUGACUGACCGAUAGUGAACCAGUACCGUGAGGGAAAGGCGAAAAGAACCCCGGCGAGGGGAGUGAAAAAGAACCUGAAACCGUGUACGUACAAGCAGUGGGAGCACCCUUUUGGGUGUGACUGCGUACCUUUUGUAUAAUGGGUCAGCGACUUAUAUUCUGUAGCAAGGUUAACCGAAUAGGGGAGCCGGAGGGAAACCGAGUCUUAAUUGGGCGUUAAGUUGCAGGGUAUAGACCCGAAACCCGGUGAUCUAGCCAUGGGCAGGUUGAAGGUUGGGUAACACUAACUGGAGGACCGAACCGACUAAUGUUGAAAAAUUAGCGGAUGACCUGUGGCUGGGGGUGAAAGGCCAAUCAAACCGGGAGAUAGCUGGUUCUCCCCGAAAGCUAUUUAGGUAGCGCCUCGUGAAUUCAUCUCCGGGGGUAGAGCACUGUUUCGGCUAGGGGGCCAUCCCGGCUUACCAACCCGAUGCAAACUGCGAAUACCGGAGAAUGUUAUCACGGGAGACACACGGCGGGUGCUAACGUCCGUCGUGAAGAGGGAAACAACCCAGACCGCCAGCUAAGGUCCCAAAGUCAUGGUUAAGUGGGAAACGAUGUGGGAAGGCCCAGACAGCCAGGAUGUUGGCUUAGAAGCAGCCAUCAUUUAAAGAAAGCGUAAUAGCUCACUGGUCGAGUCGGCCUGCGCGGAAGAUGUAACGGGGCUAAACCAUGCACCGAAGCUGCGGCAGCGACGUUUAUGCGUUGUUGGGUAGGGGAGCGUUCUGUAAGCCUGCGAAGGUGGCCUGUGAGGGUUGCUGGAGGUAUCAGAAGUGCGAAUGCUGACAUAAGUAACGAUAAAGCGGGUGAAAAGCCCGCUCGCCGGAAGACCAAGGGUUCCUGUCCAACGUUAAUCGGGGCAGGGUGAGUCGACCCCUAAGGCGAGGCCGAAAGGCGUAGUCGAUGGGAAACGGGUUAAUAUUCCCGUACUUGGUGUUACUGCGAAGGGGGGACGGAGAAGGCUAUGUUGGCCGGGCGACGGUUGUCCCGGUUUAAGCGUGUAGGCUGGUUUUCCAGGCAAAUCCGGAAAAUCAAGGCUGAGGCGUGACGACGAGGCACUACGGUGCUGAAGCAACAAAUGCCCUGCUUCCAGGAAAAGCCUCUAAGCAUCAGGUAACAUCAAAUCGUACCCCAAACCGACACAGGUGGUCAGGUAGAGAAUACCAAGGCGCUUGAGAGAACUCGGGUGAAGGAACUAGGCAAAAUGGUGCCGUAACUUCGGGAGAAGGCACGCUGACACGUAGGUGAAGUGAUUUACUCA